AGAGUUUGAUCAUGGCUCAGAAUGAACGCUGGCGGCGUGGAUUAGGCAUGCAAGUCGAACGCGAAAGCGGGUAUUUAUAUCCGCGAGUAGAGUGGCGAACGGGUGAGUAACGCGUGGGAAACCUACCCUCGAGUGGGGGAUAACAGUCCUAACGGGCUGCUAAUACCGCAUAACAUCACAGGUCGCAUGACCUGUGAUCAAAGGUGGCCUCUGCUUGCAAGCUGCCGCUUGAGGAUGGUCCCGCGUCCCAUUAGCUUGUUGGUAGGGUAACGGCCUACCAAGGCGACGAUGGGUAGCCGGCCUGAGAGGGUGACCGGCCACACUGGGACUGAGACACGGCCCAGACUCCUACGGGAGGCAGCAGUCGAGAGGCUUCGGCAAUGGGGGAAACCCUGACCGAGCGACGCCGCGUGGGCGAUGAAGUCCUUCGGGAUGUAAAGCCCUGUCAUACGGGAUGAAAAGUCGAUUGGUGAAUAGCCUUUCGACUUGACAGUACCGUAAGGGGAAGCUCCGGCUAACUCCGUGCCAGCAGCCGCGGUAAUACGGGGGGAGCGAGCGUUAUUCGGAUUCACUGGGCGUAAAGGGUUCGUAGGCGGUCAGGUAAGUCAGGGGUGAAAUCCAACGGCUCAACCGUUGAACUGCCCUUGAAACUGCCUGACUUGAGUGCAGGAGAGGAAAGCGGAAUUCUCGGUGUAGCGGUGAAAUGCGUGGAUAUCGAGAGGAACACCAGUGGCGAAGGCGGCUUUCUGGCCUGCAACUGACGCUGAGGAACGAAAGCCAGGGGAGCGAACGGGAUUAGAUA
rnacentral:rRNA from 1 species